AACAGGUUCAGCCAAACCUGAUUCUCAACUUGCAUCCGUUGAAAUAGCCACUCAGGUUUAUGCAACGAGUUCAGGUUUUUCCAAGUGCAGAAUAAAGAGCAGAAUUCAAAUGGCAGUCUAUUUGGGAAGAGUUUUGUAUGAAUGCUGGGAGAAACAAAGGCUGUAGAAUAGGUUUUUUGAGUAAUUAUGUUUUUGUCUCCCCGCAUGUAAUUGUUUAGCAAAGUUACUGCCAAAUGCAGUGAAGUGAGGAGGAAGAUGUAUGUUGAGUGCUUGAGUACAGGGUUAGAAGGGAUGGGAGGAUAACAGGAAGGCACCUUUUAAUUAAGCUGAGCUGCAUCAGCAUGAAAAGGAACUGUAAUGAAUUGCAGUAACUCAUCUUGUGCUGUCCCAGAGCAGAGUGCAGCAGAGCUGUCUGUUCCUAUGUGUCCCCAUGCUCUGGACCAGGGAAUUGGAUGGUAUGAGCUCUGUUCUCUGCUAGGUGGAGCAGCUCUGGAACAUCCUGGAGCAGUGGCCACGGGAGAACAACAAUGUAAGAUGAGCCAGGCUGGGCAUGGAAAAUAAUUCAGUGAUUAAGGAGCAAACAUUUUCCUAUGGUGGUAAAACCUGUGUUUUCUGCAAGACCAGAUCUCUUCUCAUUUGUCUGCCUCAUCUUUCUUAGAUACUAAAUUAUUUGCAUCAAUUUGAGAUUCAUAAAGAACAUGAAGAACAAGAUGCUUAAAUGAUGCAUAAUGCUGGAACAUCCUGCCAUGUGAUUUAUAGAAAUGCCAUAAAAGUGCAUGUAUUAUGCUAAGCAUUAGGAAACCUUUUAAAACACCCACACUCAACAAGUUGUUUUCUAUUCUUGCUUUCUUUUGCUGUAUCUUAACUCUAGAUAUUGAGGAUUGUAAAUGUACAGACAUAAGAAUCUGUUCUGGUGAUAAUUCUGUACCAUAACCUUUGUUGAUAUCCCUGUGCAAAGCAGAACAUGUUUUUAUUCCCAAUUUAUUGAUGCUUACAUAGCUCUUAUCAUCAGUGCUGAAGCUGGAUGUAUAAAGCACCUGGCAGUCAUUUCUGGC
rnacentral:lncRNA from 14 species